ensembl:lncRNA
UUCACCUUCCGGAGGCGACUUGGUGUGUUUACGUACAUCUAUUGCAUUGCUCAUCAGUUUCAACCGUUUAUUGAGGUGUUACCUCAUGCAUUGUGUUUCAUAUCGUUUUGCAAGUCUUUGAGGACUCGUAUCCAAGUCUGCAAGGCAAGUACAAUACUGUAGGCUUACCAGUUUCAUCCUUUCAGCAGACUUAUCACAUGUCCUCACCCUUAACUGAUCCAACCAAACAAGAUUCAGCAGGUGGAUUGGAAACAACAUGAGCCACCCAGGAAAAAUCAGCUUGAGCUGUGUUAUCAGAUGUUUUCAGGACAUCCUUCAUUGUCCAAAGUGAUUUGGUUUCCCGCUGUAACACUCUUGCUUGAACAACCAGUCUCUUCCUUUUGCAGAAACCACCAUCUCUCUACUCUGAAAUUAUCUCAGGCUUUCCAGAC